GUUAUGGGCCACGGAACUCAGCGAUCCAGAGAAGUAGUCUUCGUCCCUGACCCGUCUCCUCCACUCUGUCUGGCCCCCACUCACUCUCUCUCUGGCACAAGGGAACUCAGCUCCGAUCCUUUGUUAUUAUCCUUUUCCAUCCGCUGCACUGCGUCACCACUUGGCCCUGUUUUUUAGUUCCUUUCACUGGUUUGUUUGCCACGCUCCUAAUGAAAUUUCCGAAAACCACCCAUUUGUCCUGCCCGUCAAGAGCUCCAUGGUAAUUUCCGCUGUCGGGCGAAGCGGAAAUUGUCGCCAUCCAUCACUGGCUGACAUUGUCCAGCCCUCGAGGGGCGGGGAUUACGGGCCCCGAAUCCGCAUUUGCAUUUCUAAUUUACAGCUCGGACACCUAGCUAAAAACUUCACAGUGAAAAGACUCCCAGACUCGGAAAAAGUCCCUCGAAAUCAAUAAACAAGGGGCGACAGCAAACAAUAGAAGUUUCUUUCAAGGUAUUUCAUUAUGAAAAGGAAAAGCUUUCACUUUUGUUUUGUAAUUACA